AUGCUUUCGUGCCGUUGGCCGAGAUGUUCCAGUAUGUCAGCAGUCUGAGGGGAAUGUCCAAGGGGCGCGCGUCGUACACAAUGCAGCUUGCCAAGUUCGACGUUGUCCCACAGCAUAUCCAGAACCAACUUUCUGCGGCAAAACAAGAGGAAGCUGCUGCUUAAAUCUUCGGCAUUCGUAGAUAAUAUAUAUGAGGACGGCAGAGCAGGUGAGUAUAGGAGGACAUCAAGGUGUAUGUAGCUUUGU
rnacentral:lncRNA from 1 species